rnacentral:rRNA from 1 species
GUGAGGAAUUUUGCGCAAUGGGGGCAACCCUGACGCAGCGACGCCGCGUGGAGGACGAAGUCUUUCGGGAUGUAAACUCCUGUCAGUGGGGACGAUAAUGACGGUACCCACAGAGGAAGCACCGGCUAACUCCGUGCCAGCAGCCGCGGUAAGACGGAGGGUGCAAGCGUUGUUCGGAAUUACUGGGCGUAAAGCGUAUGUAGGCGGCAAGUUAAGUUCAAUGUUAAAGCCCACGGCUCAACCGAGGAGAUGCAUUGAAUACUGGCUAGCUAGAGGGUGUUAGAGGAAGACGGAAUUCCCAGUGUAGCGGUGAAAUGCGUAGAUAUUGGGAGGAACAUCGGUAGCGAAAGCGGUCUUCUGGGACAUACCUGAAGCUGAGGUACGAAAGCGUGGGGAGCAAACGGGAUUAGAAACCCCGGUAGUCC